AGCCAGUUGCAUUCUCAGCCCAGCUGUGGGAAUGUAAAUAAGUUUCUAACCUCAUUGAAUCUUAGGUUCCCUGUUUGGAAAUAGAUGAGAUCCAUAACAGCCAUUAUUUUAUUGGGUGGUUGUUGUAUGGCAGGGGCUGUACUGAAGAGUCACACACGUUACUUAGUCUUCCCAACAAUCCUGCAAGAGAUAGAAUCUUGACAUGUUUCUCAGGCUGGUCUGGAACUCCUGGGGCUCAAGCGAUCCACCUGCCUCCACCUCUCAAAGUGCUGGGAUUACAGGGAUGAUGCAUCUGAGAGCUCAAUGCAUGUCAGUGAUGACGAAGAUGAAGGUGCUGUGAGUGAUGAUGAGGAGGAGGAGGAACAGGAUGUAAUUGAAGGAGCUUGGGCUUUGCCAUCAGUACAGCUGAGUUAAAAUAUGGAGGCGCAUCACAGAACUGGCAAGUACCCGCCUGAAGGGGGUCCAUCUUUUCUGGAACUGCAACAUCCCAUCUGUUUGCUUUUAUGCCUUAAUAUCCCCAAAAUCACUCUUGCCAAAUGCUACAGAGCACAUAUUUAUUGUUUUAAUUUAAGUGAAUAGGUUUGAGGAUUUUAAAAGAGAACUUUGAAGCUAUCCAAGGGGGUUCCAAAAUCAGAGAAAGGAAAGCUUACACCAGAAUGCAUUAGAGUGACAUAGCUCAUCACAGGCUCCCUGAUUUAGGAGAAAGGGAGGAAAGAAGAAGAAGAAAGGAAAAACUGAAGAAAGAAACAUUGAGGCUCAUGUCUUUGUUUUGUUUCUCAAAAGAUUCCAUUAGACUCAAGAUGUCAUUCUAAGUGCACCUGGAUAUAGUGCAGAUUUAGAUAACUCUCUCCUCCCCUUCUGACCUUUAUUAUGACUGCAAAAAUUCUGUGUGUGAGGGAUAAAUAAUGCAUGCUCUCAGCCAAGAAGGGAAAGAAGACGCAAGGAAAAGUUGCAGAAUAGAAUGGGCAAACCAGGAAAACAGAGCUCAGUACAGAAGGGAGUUGGGCAGCCUCUGUUCCUGUUUGGCUCUGUCCUUGAAGAAAGUGAUAAGAAGUGCACAGAUUUUGGAAUUAAACAGACCAUGGUUUGAAGUCUGGAUCUUCCAGUUGUAACCAGGUGGCAUUGGGGCCUAUGGUUCAUCUUGCAAUAUCAGAGACUAUGUAACUGUUGGAAGCUCAUUUGUGCAGAAGUACUAGUUAGACCAAGUCCCAGGAUGGUGGGGACCUGAACUGCCUCAUGCACAUUGUACCCAAGAGCCUGGCGCAUGAAAGUAAAUCAGUGGAUACUUGAAUAAAAAGAAGAAUAUGCGC